GAGCGUGGGACGCCAGGAAACAUUCAGAUUUCAAGCCUUGCACAGGGGCAGAAUUCACAUUCAAUGAGGUCUGAGGGAAGGCUGCCUUUGGCCAGCAAGGUGCUCGCCAGCCCUGGCACUCAUCUGUGGCUCUCUUCCUUCUCCUCCCUGAUGCCCAGCUCCAGUAACAUGGCUGAAAACAGCCAGUGGUGGAAAUUCCGAGAUGAUCCUAGCAGGGCAGUCACAGGAGGAGCUGGCUAUCAAAGACCAUCCUACACUUCCCCUGCCUGGCCGACAGUUUUCACCUCCAAAUUCAGGGAAGAUGUGUCUGUGGUUAGGACAGAGCCAAACACCAGUCAAGACACAACCAAAAUGAGUGCCCAGUGGCCAGAAUGGGCUGGAAAUGGAGUGAUCACAGAGGGGCAACAUGAAGUGCCCCCAGACUCCUGGACCACAGGGAUUUACUGUCCCUUCGCUGCACAGCCAUCACCAGAGCACCACCCUGCCUGCACUGCUCACCUGGAUCCAGCCCAACAAUUCUGCAGAUUUAUUUUGCAAUUGUUUCUCCCAAUUGUUUGGUAUUUCUCAGGGUUUCAAGCAAACUGGGAAAAAAAAUAA
rnacentral:lncRNA from 1 species